CCGGUCGCGUGCCGUCCAGGCCAUCGGCGAAACCCCACCACCCCCACCCUCUUUGGGCGUGCGAAACGCGAGCGAUUGUUACUGGAUUUUGGUCAUCCUCGUUGUGGACGAUUAUUUUCUCUCGUUGAUGAAAUUGAUAUCCAAGUUCUCAUAACUUCCAUUGAAAUUUUUUUGAUGACAUGCCUUUUUUUCUUACAAAAUGAGGAAAACACCGGUUACGAAGUGACAUUUCAAGAGACUACCUGCGUGUAGAGGGACACUCUCUGAAAACGAUGGUUGUUCAUUCCGAUCAGGCCCUCCGAUCAUGCUGCGAUGAUGAUGUGCGCAGAUUUUUAGGGAAACAGUGCGCGAUGGUUCCCCUUUUUUAGCACGACAAAGCUCGGAACGAAUGGUCGGCCUAGACCAUUUAUUUCAUCAAUGAUCCAACCAAGCCCAAAUGUCGAUGAAAUAAAAUCGGAAACAAUAUUAUUAUAAAAUGAAUGUGGGGACGGGUUUUAGAAGUAAUGGUUCCCUCCGUGGGGCAGGAUACAUUGAACUGAGAGGAUUAAUUUCCGUUAAAAAAUGUCAGCAUUCAAUUCUUUGUGAAGUUAUUUCUGUGUGCCAAUUCACCAGUUGACGGAAUAAUCCGUAUUUUGUAAUUUUUUUUAUUCAUUUAUUUUAUUUAUAUUUUUAAGUGGCGACAAUACUCUUCACUAGCAAAUCGUAGUUCAAUUUCAAUGAUGUCUACAAUCCCUUGCGCUCCUUGAACGAUAAAUAUUAACACAUUUAAAGAAUUUUGUAAUUACGAUACCUAAACGCUCGCUGCUCUCAGUGUUUCGAAAUGAGUGUCCGCCGGCUGAAAACGAAGACCCGCGCGGUGGUCUUGCGAUAAUUGAUUAUAUCCGUAGCGACUUCAAAUCAAUAAACAUUGAGCUUUUUUCCAGAUGAGGAAAAGAUAACAUAGCGGAGCAGGACAUGGAGGUUAAUAGCUCGGAUUAUGAGCUCGGCGCCACUGAAACUGCGGCCGAUGACCUUUAUGAUCCAGAACCAAUCGCUCAAAAUGAGUUCGUCAACCAGACUGAUUUCAAUCAGACGUCACCGAUCUACUCCAUUGGGACCGACUUUCUCUCAGAAUGGAAACUGCGGAGGGAGAAAGACAGGCUGUGUCGAUUUACAUUCCAAAGGCUGUACACGGAGCAGUGCCAGCCCGCCUACAACCUGUCUGACAUCGCAUCCGUUUGGGACAAUUACCAGGGGUACUCCUCCUGGGGCAACGAUGACUCGGUUCUAUCCGAUUAUGAUCAAGGCCUGGCCAACUUUUAUCAGCUAUCGUCAACGAUGCUUGCAUCCAACAACACGACACUUUUGAAUUCAAGUGAGUCACUCCUAAUCAUACCAAUAAAUACUUUUUUCCCACUUUAGAAGCGACAAUCCGGAUUAUAGUACUUCAUUUUUGAAAAAAUGAAUAGAGGU
rnacentral:lncRNA from 1 species